UGCGGACGGGUGAGUAACGCGUGGGGGAACCUGCCCUGUACAGGGGGAUAACACUUAGAAAUAGGUGCUAAUACCGCAUAAGCGCACAGUAUCGCAUGAUACAGUGUGAAAAACUCCGGUGGUACAGGAUGGACCCGCGUCUGAUUAGCUGGUUGGCGGGGUAACGGCCCACCAAGGCGACGAUCAGUAGCCGGCCUGAGAGGGUGAACGGCCACAUUGGGACUGAGACACGGCCCAAACUCCUACGGAAGGCAGCAG
rnacentral:rRNA from 1 species